rnacentral:rRNA from 1 species
UUAACAAAAACAUGUCCUUUUGAUUAUUAUUUAAGGUCUAAUCUGCUCAAUGAUAUUUAAAUUGCCGCAGUAUUUUAACUGUGCGAAGGUAGCAUAAUAAUUAGUUUCUUAAUUGGAAGCUUGAAUGAACGAUUGGACGAAAAAAUUUCUGUCUCAUUUUAAUGUUUUAUUGAAUUUUAUUUUUAAGUUAAAAAGCUUAAAUUUUUAUGAAAGACGAGAAGACCCUAUAGAGUUUAAUAUUAAAAUUUAAUUAUAUUUUAGAAUUUAAUUUUAAAUUUUAAUAUUUGGUUGGGGUGACUUGGAGAUUUACUAAAUUCUUUAAAUUUUUUAUUGAUGAUGUUUAAAUUUUUAAUCUUUAAAUUACAAAUUUAAAAUAAAUUACCUUAGGGAUAACAGCGUAAUUUUUCUUAGAAGUUCUUAUUUAAAGAAGAUUUUGCGACCUCGAUGUUGGAUUAAAAUAAAUUUUUGGUGCAGUAACUUAAAAAUUGGGUCUGUUCGACCUUUAAAAUUUUACAUGAUCUGAGUUUAGACCGGCGUAAGCCAGGUUGGAUUCUAUCUUUAGAAAGUUAAUACAUUUUAGUACGAAAGGACCAAGUGUUUAUUAAAUAUUAAUUG